rnacentral:rRNA from 1 species
AUUGAACGCUAGCGGCAGGCCUAACACAUGCAAGUCGAGCGAGCGGCGGACGGGUGAGUAAUGUAUGGGGACUGCCCGAUAGAGGGGGAAUACUACUGGAAACGGUAGCUAAUACCGCAUACUAUCGGAUAACCCAUAUGGGAUUAGCUAGUAGGUGAGGUAAUGGCUCACCUAGGCGACGAUCCCUAGCUGGUCUGAGAGGAUGAUCAGCCACACGGGGGCUGAGACACGGCCCAGUCUCCUACGGAGGCAGCAGUGGGGAAUAUUGCAAAAUGGGCGCAAGCCUGAUGCAGCCAUGCCGAGUGUAUGAAGAAGGCCCGAGGGUUGUAAAGUACUUUCAGUCGGGAGGCGUUACCGAGAGAAAAAGCACCGGCUAACUCCGGGCCAGACGCCGCGGUAAUAC